GACUGAAUUUGCGCAUUUUUCUCCAGAAUGUCCUUCUAGCCUUACUGAUUUGCAAAAGCUCAUUGCAUACUGAGAAGAUAAACCCUUUGUGGCAGGACCCUUUCUGUCUCCCCUGGUGGCUGCAGCCCCACGCCAGCCUGGGUUCUGCUGGUCCCACAGUCAUGGAAGAAGGCAGUGAAGAGCUUGGUCCCUUGUAGGAGGGAACGCGUCAGGUCUCUGAAGCCUAAAUCAUGGGAAAGAACGGAGGGUUUGGAGACAGGAGACUUUGUUUGGCAUCGGGCCCUGGUCCUUCCAGUCUUGUGACCUUGGGCCAGUCACCUGCCCCCUGCAAACUGAAGUGUUGUCACCCGAGAGAGGGGAGCCAGAGCCAGCACAGAGCCCCACGGGUCGGCCAAACAGCAUCCUGUGACAGGUGCCCCUCGACCCCCCGGUGCCACGUGUGGGCUGAAACGAGAAUGCAGUCAGAGGAACCUGAUUGUCAUUGACAGGAGAAAAAGAUUUGUCUUCUGCUGCAGUUUGCAAAAACUUUGCUGUGCUGUGUCUGCAAAGGGAAAAAAAAAAACGACCCUCUUGGUCUCACCGCAGGUUUGGCAUGAACAGGUAUGGUGUCUGAAGGAGGUCAUUCCAGUUUAAACGGUACAGACAGUGCUGCUGGGUUCUGACCACAAAAAACGUAUUGUUAAAAAGGAAUUUUAAACGAGGGGUGAUUGUGGGUCCCCUGAAACCUCUCUGAAUCAGAGGUGGGCUUGGGAGGACACAGGACACAGCAGAACCAGAUGCAGAAAGGAGUGACACAGGGGUCUCCAGGCUUGUGCGUGUGCGUGUGUGUGUUUUACACCGUAAAUCUCCAAAUGAAAUACUGAUUAACAAUUGUGGGGUAAGCCUGUGAUCAAACAGCACAAAGAUUCUUUAAAGAAGUCCACUUUUAAGGCAUCAGAGAAGUUAAUGUGGCAAACAUUUUAAUUAAAACAUCAGAAGUAAAUUUUAUUUUAAACUUUAGGCCUCUGAAUUUUUCCAGUAAACACAGUUCAGCUAUGUGGCAAAGUCAUGGGUGGCAGCUAAAAUGACUUUUUACAUUCUACAAAAAAAAUAAAACAAAAGGAGGACACAGCCCCAAACGGGGUCGCCUCUUCGUGGCCGCUCCACAUGCACGGAAUCUACGAGGGUUUGUCACAGCGGGUGGCACCGUUUUGUUGUGACUAUACAACGAACUUUUUUUUUCUUCAAAAGUAUUUGUUCAGAUAACUUAAAAAUAAUAUAAAAAUAAACAAUGAAUUUGACUUUUCCUCAAAAAAAAAAAAAAAAAAAGACGGAAA